AGCACCUUCUGCAUUUUGAGUGACAGCUGGAGGCUGCACGUCUCGGAAGCCAUGAGACUGUGAGAUAUAAGCAAAAUCAUGUGAUAACACUUCUAUGGAUAUAAACCAUGAGUAACUAGUUCCCAGAAGAUCAGAAUAAGGUGAAUACAUUCAGGACUGAAAAAGGAAAUACCUAUUCAAUAGUUUGAAGAUCUCAUGGCAGCAUUCAAAUCUGCAGGAAGUGCUACGGCAGUGUGUUUCCAUGAGGACACAUGGCAAAUAGACUUACUGCUGACUUAUGAUCAUUUGCUAUGAUGAUCAGCUGCUGCGCCAGACCAUUCAAAAGCCUUGUCCGGAGUGAGAGGUCUUCAAACUCAUGGCGAAAAGGAAAUGCAAUUCCAUCAACUACCACCAGUCGGACCUAAACGUGGAAGAAAAGGAGAACUACCUUUAUUAUCCUACAAGCAAAUGACAAAAAGCAGCAAGACAUCUUUUUAAGUGCACUGGAAUGUUUUGUAUAAGGUGAUGACAACCUUAUUUCAUACUCAAAUGUGCAUUAACAGCGUAACACCUAUUGUCUCUAGAUAUAUACUGGGAACAAUCAGCACUCCGUAAGAGUGCAGAGUAAACAGCUCCAAGCUUUGAACACACUAAGACACUUGCUAAGUGCAGUACUGCUUUAUUAAGGGAUACUAGCUCAGACUGUAGCUGCACUAGCUUAAACAAAAUGCUGCACUAAUAUGUCCCAUUAGUUAAGGCAGCACAGAGCUCUUUCCAGUUUCAGAGCUUGCUCACUUAGAGCUGACUUCUCUGGAGCACCCCACACAGAAUACAAAAUAAUAAACCUGGACUUAAAGCCUUGCAGAAGAGGAGCUGGAGAAAAAUAAAUUGUUAAACAUGAAGGUUGUACUCUGAUCAGCUCUCCAUGAACACUAAUUUAUUUCACCUUUUCCCUCAAAAAAUAAAUCCUAACAAGAUUAGAA